rnacentral:lncRNA from 1 species
GUUCUGUCAAUUCUCUAAUGUGACUUUCCUCCAGUUUCUUCAUGUGGGCACUUAGUGCUAUGAACUUCCCUCUUAGCACUGCUUUCAGGGUGUCCCAUAAGUUCAGAACCUUUUCCGGUGACCAGUUCCUCUUUGGCAUUGGACCUGGGCUCCUCUCCAGCAUUCCAGAAGGUUCGUCCAGACAGCACUAGCGGAGAUGUAGUCAGAUGGCUUCAGGUGACGGGAGGAACGCGAAACCAGCGCAGUGGUCUAACAGCCAGACCUUUAAACCGGAGUGGGACAGCGGCUCGGCCUGGUAGUCAUAGCAGAGGGUUAGCGUCAGCACACUGGCAGCCUGGAGAGUAGCUGCUACCCUGUCGACAACUUUGCCACUGUGUUCUUUGAGCCCCUGCCUAUGAAUGAAUCUCCAGUGAGCCUACAGAACUAUCCGGUUGCCUCGACAGGUUCCCCAACACAAUUGCUUCCUAACUCCAAGAAGGAAGUGAACCAGCACCAGUACACCCUGAGCCACCACAGUCCUGUGCUUCUCAGCUUCUCC